UGCGCUAAGAAUGCAAAUGAAAUGUGGUAAAAAUGCCAAUGAGAUAAAGCUAAAGAUAUGUUGUAAUAAUGCUAAUGAGAUGUGGUAAUAAAAGCUAAUGAGAUGUGGUUAUAAAGCUGAUGAGAUGCGCUUAGAAUGCCAAUGAGAUGUGUUAAUACAACUAAUGAGAUGCGCUAAAAAUGCAAAUGAAAUGUGGUAAAAAUGCCAAUGAGAUGUGGUUAUAAAGCUAAAGAUAUGUUGUAAUAAAUCUAAUGAGAUGUGGUAAUAAAGCUAAUGAGAUGUGGUAAUAAAGCCGAUGAGAUGCGCUAAGAAUGCAAAUGAGAUGUGGCUAUAAAGCUGAUGAGAUGUGCUUAGAAUGCCAUUGAGAUGUGCUUAGAAUGCCAAUGAGAUGUGUUAAUACAACUAAUGAGAUGCGCUAAGAAUGCAAAUGAAAUGUGGUAAAAAUGCCAAUGAGAUAAAGCUAAAGAUAUGUUGUAAUAAUGCUAAUGAGAUGUGGUAAUAAAUCUAAUGAGAUGUGGUAAUAAAGCUAAUGAGAUGUGGUUAUUAAGCUAAUGAGAUGCGCUUAGAAUGCCAAUGAGAUGUGUUAAUACAACUAAUGAGAUGCGCUAAGAAUGCAAAUGAAAUGUGGUAAAAAUGCCAAUGAGAUGUGGUUAUAAAGCUAAAGAUAUGUUGUAAUAAUGCUAAUGAGAUGUGGUAAUAAAGCUAAUGAGAUGUGGUAAUAAAGCCGAUGAGAUGCGCUAAGAAUGCAAAUGAGAUGUGGCUAUAAAGCUGAUGAGAUGUGCUUAGAAUGCCAUUGAGAUGUGCUUAGAAUGCCAAUGAGAUGUGUUAAUACAACUAAUGAGAUGCGCUAAGAAUGCAAAUGAAAUGUGGUAAAAAUGCCAAUGAUAUAAAGCUAAAGAUAUGUUGUAAUAAUGCUAAUGAGAUGUGGUAAUAAAUCUAAUGAGAUGUGGUAAUAAAGCUAAUGAGAUGUGGUUAUUAAGCUAAUGAGAUGCGCUUAGAAUGCCAAUGAGAUGUGUUAAUACAACUAAUGAGAUGCGCUAAGAAUGCAAAUGAAAUGUGGUAAAAAUGCCAAUGAGAUGUGGUUAUAAAGCUAAAGAUAUGUUGUAAUAAUGCUAAUGAGAUGUGGUAAUAAAGCUAAUGAGAUGUGGUAAUAAAGCCGAUGAGAUGCGCUAAGAAUGCAAAUGAGAUGUGGCUAUAAAGCUGAUGAUAUGUGCUAAGAAUGCAAAUGAGAUGUGGUAAUAGAGCUAAUGAGAUGCGCUAAGAAUGCAAAUGAGAUGUGGUUAUAAAGCUAAAGAUAUGUGGUAAUAAUGCUAAUGAGAUGUGGUAAUAAAGCUAAUGAGAUUUGGUUAUGAAGCUGAUGAGAUGCGCAAAGAAUGCAAAUGAGAUGUGGUAAUAGAGCUAAUGAUAUGUGCUAAGAAAGCUAAUGAGAUGUGGUAAUAAAGCUAAUGAGAUGUGGUAGUAAAGCUAAUGAGAUGUGAUAAUAAUGCUAAUGAGAUGUGGUUAUAAAGCUAAAGAUAUGUUGUAAUAAUGCUAAUGAGAUGUGGUAAUAAAGCUAAUGAGAUGUGGUUAUAAAGCUGAUGAGAUGUGCUAAGAAUGCAAAUGAGAUGUGGUUAAAAAGCUUAUGAGAUGCGCUAAGAAUGCAAAUGAGAUGUGGUAAUGGAGCUAAUGAGAUGCUCUAAGAAUGCAAAUUAGAUGUGGUAAUAGAGCUAAUGAUAUGUUCUAAGAAAGCUAAUGAGAUGUGGUAAUAAAGCUAAUGAGAUGUGGUAAUAAUGCUAAUGAGAUGCGCUAAGAAUACUAAUGAGAUGUGGUAAUAAUGCCAAUGAGAUGUGGUUAGAAUUCCAAUGAGAUGUGGUUAGAAUGCCAAUGAGAUUUAGUAAGAAUGCCAAUGAGAACUAUCCACCAGAGAUUGAGCAACAAGGCUGCAAGAACUAUCUUUCUUUCAUGUGAAUUUUGUGUAUACUUUGUAUACUUUGUAAGCUCCCCUACAGCUGAUAGUUAACAUUUUCAUCAAAUUAUGAUUUAAAUUAUCCUUUCUUUAAAUAAAAUUAUUUGGUAAUUAAACUUUUUUAAAUAAACAUUGAAAAAGCUAAAUUUUCUGAAAAAAUUACUUUAAAUAGGCACUUUUGAAUUUUUUGCCUAUUUAAAAAAAAAAUACCAGUAAUGGCACAAGGAUAGAAGAUGUGUGGAAUCAAAUUGGUAACAACUAUAGUGAUAAUGAAAUAUUCUAAUAAUAACCAGUUUUUUAAUGUCUUGACUUAAUGGACUUAUUGUAUGAUGAUAUAUGCGACCAGUUAGAAUAGUGGACAAUGAAAUAUUCAAACAUGGAACUGACUGAAGUUAAUAGACUUAAAAUUCAAAAUUGAAACCAGCAAGUGAAUUAUUUACAACGGCCUUGGAACCAGCAAGUGAAUUAUUGACAUUUAUUUUGAUGUGACCAGUAUUCAUGUGGAUGGACAGUACUAGUGGACUAUAAACUGAUAAAUCUCACAGAAAGGCACAUCACAACUGAGUCUGAAGCUGUUACAUACAAAAGACAAGAUAUCCAGGAAAUAAGAAUUGUAUGUGAUCUAUUUAAAGAUCUUAGGACAGUAGGACCUGGAAGUACUAUAUUACCAACUUCAAGAUUAACUGAGCUUGAGAAAUUACAAAUCAACUGAUACAGAAGAAGAGACUUUGCCAUGUGGAUGAACUUGGAAACAAUUAUUGACAAACAAUAAAGUGUAUUAGUAUUCUUGUAAAAAACAAUAGAGAGAGAGAGAGAGAGAGGAAGGAUAGGAGAGAGUCAGUUGUAAACAUUUAUGCUUUUUAACCAGACAUGUCGAUUACAUUAGAAUUUCAGAGGCCUACAGUUCUCCCUUAAAUGGUCAUAGUUAAUACAUGAAGUAGUUGAAGUAGAGGACUUUAGUGUGACCAGUGAAAACAAUCAGGCAGCUGCCAUUGGUUUAAAUCUCUUUUUUCGAAGAUGUUUUGGUUACAUUAGAAUAAAUCUGUGAGGAAUCACAAAAAAAAUGUAAAAAAAAUAAUUUGUGGUAUUUUGUACAGUUUCAUUAUGCAAUCUUGAAUACAUUUAUGAUUACUAUUUAUAAAGAAGUAUUAUCAUUAGAAUGAGGAUGGAAAAUGUUUAAACAUUUAUUUGAGACAGAGUUUUGCAUUAUUUCAUUAAAAUUAUUAAAUUCUUUUUGUGUGAAUGAAGGACAAACAGGGAAAACAGAAGCUAUUCUAUGAAUUUCAAAUUGUAUUUAUUUACAUUUGAUUGAUUAGAUGAAGAUUAACUACAAGUAUUCAGCAUAGUACAAAAUUAAGGAUGCACUGCAAGUGUAUAUUAUCUUUAUAGUUAUCAUCACACUAUGUCCAAUCUAGAUGUACAACACUCUUUUUUAUAGUGUUCUGUAAAUUAUCAGGAACACCAGUUGUGAUGAAUGGGAAGACUGGCAGGCUGAGAAAUGGGUAUAAGGGGAGGGAAUACCCCUGCUUAUCUUUUCAUACUGGUUAGUUCCUUUGGUAAAGGUUUUGUACAAAUGUUGUUCAUAUCAGAUGUAUACGAUUUGAAGAGAGUUGUUAUUUGGAGCUCUGUAAAAAAAAAAAAAAAGAAAAAAAAAAAGAAAAAGAAAAAAAAAAAAGAAGAAUUGUAAGAGUUCUAGAUAAUAACUGGGUGGUAUGAAAUGUGGGUUAAAUAUUUUCGGUAUAUUUACAAUGAUUUUUUUUUUUUUUUUAUGCAUCUGAUAUUUUUUGUGUAUAAAAUGUUUUGUUAUUUUUUACAGAA